UCCCCGGUAGCUCAGUCGGUAGAGCAAGUGACUGUUAAUCACUGGGUCGGCGGUUCGAGUCCGUCCCGGGGAG
rfam:Acidithiobacillales bacterium SM1_46 WOR1_30_36_13684, whole genome shotgun sequence.